rnacentral:RNase_P_RNA from 1 species
GGCAGCCGCUGGUACGUCCAGAGGAAAGUCCAUGCUCGCACGGUCUGCGAUGGCCGUAGUGUUUGUGCCGGCCGAAAAAAUAAGGCCGGGCAUCCUUGACAGGAUGACGGCGGACACGAACCCUAAAGGCUUAUGCCCAUGGCGGAGGUCCCUAAGGUGUCACAGUGACGGAGUCUGCGUGGAAACGCGCAGAGUGGAACGCGAUAAACCCCUCAAGCGAGAAACCCAAAUUUGGUAGGGGAACCGGAAAGGGCGAAAUGAAGCCACGAUCCGGCUGCAUAUGCAGAGAUAAAUGGCUGCCACGCGCUUUGCGCGGACAGAACAUGGCUUAU